AGAGUGAAUUACUGUGAUUCAAUGACUGACUGAUAAGUGCUGAUGCAAAGAGAUGAUAUUGAUUCGAAGAUGAUGUUGACGACGACGAAGCAGAGUAUCAUUCUAAACCCCUCAAACUAAGGCACUGACUCCUCUCUCUAUCCUACAAUCUCACUCUCAAAUCUCAAUUCACCCAAAUAUCGGUUCAGAUUGGGGCAACGUUUCAUUCGUGUAAGGAUUUCCCAACGUGGACGUUGCGUUAGCGAGGUCAAAAUACACUAUUUAGAAGUUGUUACGUCCACACAGAAAGCUUAGCUUUCUAGCAGUGUGGGAAUACAAAAAUGGGAGUGACAUCAGUGAUUUACAAUGGUGUCCACACAAUCCCUCUGAAAUUCAAUGUGGGGCUCAAUACCACCCCCAAUUCAUCCUCCACUUCUUUGUUUGCUACUCAGUUCUCGCAUCGUCCAUGUUUGAUGUUUCGCUCAGCGAUUCAUUCCCGGAAAAUUCCUUUGCCUAAUUUCUCAGUUGUUUAUGCAAAGAGUACCAAGGAGGAAGAUGGUACUUCCACUGCCUCAGAAUGGCAUGGAGAUGAUACUGGAUCACGUCCGAGUAGUAGUGGCAGCAAGUCUCAUUUAUCAACUUCUGUAGGCUGUGUAGUAAAAGAAAAGCAUGAUCAAGAAAGCUAUAUGUCAUCUGUUAGAACUGUUGCUUUGUGUGUAAGCACUGCGGUGGCAUUUGGUAUUGGUUUGGGUUUCACAGGUGGUGUUGGCAAAGCUACAGAAUUUUUUGCCGGGUACCUUUUGGAGCAAAGUCUUUCUGUGGACAAUCUGUUUGUCUUUGUUUUAGUUUUCAAGUACUUCAAGGUGCCAAUUAUGUACCAGAAUCGUGUGCUCUCUUAUGGUAUCGCUGGCGCCGUUAUAUUCCGAUCUUCACUAAUACUUCUUGGGACAGCCACCCUUCAGAGGUUUGAAGUGGUGAACCUUCUACUGGCAGCAAUACUCCUGUAUUCCUCAUUCAAGUUAUUUUCCACUGAAGAAGAAGAUGAAGACUUAUCGGAAAAUUUUAUAGUGAAGGCUUGCCAGAAAGUUAUUCCUGUGACAGCUAAUUAUGAUGGCAAUCGGUUUUUCACAAUCGACAAUGGUGUGUGGAAGGCUACACCUUUACUUCUCACUGUAGCAGUUAUUGAGUUGAGUGAUAUUGCUUUUGCCGUUGACUCAAUACCAGCUGUGUUCGGUGUAACUCGAGAUCCUUUCAUAGUAUUUUCAUCCAAUCUCUUUGCCAUCUUAGGUUUAAGGUCGUUAUAUACUCUUAUUUCUGAAAGCAUGGCCGACUUGGAAUAUCUGCAGCCCUCCAUUGCUGUUGUACUAGGCUUUAUUGGGCUGAAGAUGAUCCUUGAUUACUUUGGAUUCCAUGUUGGAACAGAAGUAUCUCUUGGUUUUGUGGCAACGAGUCUUACUACUGGCGUGCUUCUCAGUUUGGUGAAAAAGUCUGAGUAGCUAGUACUGGCAUGAGAGUAUGACUCAUUGUAAAUCAUGCCGACUUCUGGCUUGUCACUCAGUAAUCUUUCAUACAGUGGAGAAGAACAUAUAAAGGCAUUCAGUAGGUGAAGCAACAGUUCACGAAAUUCUUGUUGACAUAACGCAGAGAAAAAUGUUAUGAAAUACAAAGUGCUAAUUCUCUCAAACUUGAUGCAGGCUUGCCACUAUGAGCAGGACAUCAAUUAGUAUAAUUCUGCUCACUCAAACUUGAUCUACACGCCACAAUGAGCAACAUCAACAGCUAUAAGAAGUGCAACGUCCUUACAAGAUGGGAGUGUGGGCAAUGAUCAUGGAACCAAUCAUUAGUAUGGUGGAUGAGAAGUGGAACAAAACAGUGCAAGGCUCUAAUCUCUUUGUGAUACAAAGGAAACUUCAUUUCAUUAAAGUAAGAAUGAAAGAGUGGUGCUUAAUGUACAAAAUGAUAGUGGGACUAAUUUCUUUAUACACUGAGUCGUCACCAAGAGGAGAUUACUACACUUGAGCACUUGAGCGUCGCUCAUAUUCCAAAGACAAUCAGACUGGAGUCCGCAUCACAGUUCAGACCAAUUGGUCUUUGCAACACACUAUGUACAAAAUCAUUUCAAAGACGAUGGUACUCAGACUGAAGUCUGUAGUGUCUGAUAUAGUUGGAGACUUCCAAAAUGAAUUCGUUCCGGGAAGAUUACUUGUUGAUAAUUGCUUGCUAGCUCAUGAAAUGAUGACCGUUGUGAAGAAAAGGAACAAAGGGAAGGAAUAUGCUGCUAUACUCAAGAUCGACCUCAACAAGGCAUAUGAUAGGUCCCUGGUCGGAAGUUUUCUAUAAAGGCGGACGCAUAGUAAACACUAGAUUACUAAAAUGCAAGAUGACUAGUAGUUCUGUUUCUUGAACUAUGUGGUCAUGGCAAUGUCGCAAUCAUUUGCAUAGAUACUUACUUGGUAAUAUUGGUAUCAAACAGACCUAUGAAACUUUACUGUAAGAGAUGAAAAUCUUCCAUAACUAAAUUUCAUUAUAUUAUUAGACACUAA